CCCCUGGUGGUCCAGUGGUUAGGACUCCGCACUUUCAAUGCAGGUGCAGGGGUUCGAUCCCUGGCUGGGGA
rnacentral:tRNA from 1 species